CUUUAAAAGACAUUAGACCGUCGGUACCACCACUCCAGUGGGCUGGUGUAUACAUCGUUCCUAUCUGUAGCAGGGAUUUGGAUGUGUUGGAGGUGUGGUGGGAUCCCUAAGCGCCUACUAGGGGAGCGCAAAAGCAGUAUGGAGGGGAUGACCUUUAACACAGCACUUGUCGGGCAUUUUUGCCAGUAUGAUGAUCAGCAUAGAAUGGAAUCAGGCGCGAGGCCAUUAUAUAAGAGGUCCUACAUCAUAAAUGACAAUCCUCCUGUUAACAUACCACCUCAAUGGCUUGUAUAGUCUUGAUAUAUAACGGAUCCACGAUUGCCACCAAUUUUAUUUGUUACAGUUGACAAUCUUAU
rnacentral:lncRNA from 1 species